rnacentral:tRNA from 1 species
GUCCUCGUAGUUUAACGGAAGAAUAAAUCUUUCCUAAAGAUUAGGUAUCAGUUCAAUUCUGGUCGAGGAUGCCA